AUUGAACGCUGGCGGCAGGCUUAACACAUGCAAGUCGAGCGGAGAUGAGGUGCUUGCACCUUAUCUUAGCGGCGGACGGGUGAGUAAUGCUUAGGAAUCUGCCUAUUAGUGGGGGACAACAUUCCGAAAGGAAUGCUAAUACCGCAUACGUCCUACGGGAGAAAGCAGGGGAUCUUCGGACCUUGCGCUAAUAGAUGAGCCUAAGUCGGAUUAGCUAGUUGGUGGGGUAAAGGCCUACCAAGGCGACGAUCUGUAGCGGGUCUGAGAGGAUGAUCAGCCACACUGGGACUGAGACACGGCCCAGACUCCUACGGGAGGCAGCAGUGGGGAAUAUUGGACAAUGGGGGGAACCCUGAUCCAGCCAUGCCGCGUGUGUGAAGAAGGCCUUAUGGUUGUAAAGCACUUUAAGCGAGGAGGAGGCUACUGAGACUAAUACUCUUGAAUAGUGGACGUUACUCGCAGAAUAAGCACCGGCUAACUCUGUGCCAGCCGCCGCAGUAACAC
rnacentral:rRNA from 1 species